UACGGAGGGUGCAAGCGUUAUUCGGAAUUAUUGGGCGUAAAGAGCGUGUAGGCGGUUAGUCAAGUCAGAUGUGAAAGCCCGGGGCUUAACCCCGGAAGGGCAUUUGAAACUGGCUGACUUGAGUGCGGGAGAGGAAAGCGGAAUUCCCAGUGUAGAGGUGAAAUUCGUAGAUAUUGGGAGGAACACCGGUGGCGUAGGCGGCUUUCUGGACCGACACUGACGCUGAGACGCGAAAGAGUGGGGAGCAAACAGG
rnacentral:rRNA from 1 species